GAUGAACGCUGGCGGCGUGCCUAAUACAUGCAAGUCGAGCGAACGGACGAGAAGCUUGCUUCUCUGAUGUUAGCGGCGGACGGGUGAGUAACACGUGGAUAACCUACCUAUAAGACUGGGAUAACUUCGGGAAACCGGAGCUACUACCGGAUAAUAUUUUGAACCGCAUGGUUCAAAAGUGAAAGACGGUCUUGCUGUCACUUAUAGCUGGAUCCGCGCUGCAUUAGCUAGUUGGUAAGGUAACGGCUUACCAAGGCAACGAUGCAUAGCCGACCUGAGAGGGUGAUCGGCCACACUGGAACUGAGACACGGUCCAGACUCCUACGGGAGGCAGCAGUAGGGAAUCUUCCGCAAUGGGCGAAAGCCUGACGGAGCAACGCCGCGUGAGUGAAGAAGGUCUUCGGAUCGUAAAACUCUGUUAUUAGGGAAGAACAUAUGUGGAAGUAACUGUGCACAUCUUGACGGUACCUAAUCAGAAAGCCACGGCUAACUACGUG
rnacentral:rRNA from 1 species